rnacentral:rRNA from 1 species
UACAGGGGGUGCAAACGUUGCUCGGAAUUAUUGGGCGUAAAGCGCGCGUAGGCGGCUACCUAAGUCGGAUGUGAAAGCCCCUGGCUUAACUGGGGAAGUGCACCCGAAACUGGGUAGCUAGAGUGCAAAAGAGGGUCGCGGAAUUCCCGGUGUAGAGGUGAAAUUCGUAGAUAUCGGGAGGAACACCGGUGGCGAAGGCGGCGACCUGGGUAGAUACUGACGCUGAGGUGCGAAAGCGUGGGGAGCAAACAGG